rnacentral:rRNA from 1 species
GAUGAACGCUGGCGGCGUGCCUAAUACAUGCAAGUCGAGCGAACUUUUGGUAACUUGCUCCCAAUAGUUAGCGGCGGACGGGGGAGUAACACGUGGGUAACCUGCCUGUAAGACUGGGAUAACUUCGGGAAACCGGAGCUAAUACCGGAUAACAUUGAAGCCCACAUGGCCUGCAAUUAAAAGGUGGCUUUUAGCUGCCACUUACAGAUGGACCCGCGGCGCAUUAGCUAGUUGGUGAGGUAACGGCUCACCAAGGCGACGAUGCGUAGCCGACCGGAGAGGGUGAUCAGCCACACGGGAACGAGGACACGGUCCAGACUCCUACGGUCGGCCACAGUGGGGAAUAUUGGACAAUGGGCGCAAGCCUGAUCCAGCCAUACCGCGUGGGGGAAGAAGGCCUUCGGGUUGUAAAGCCCUUUUGUUGGGAAAGAAAAGCACCCGGUUAAUACCCCGCUAUUCUGACGGUACCCAAAGAAUAAGCACCGGCUAACUUCGUG